rnacentral:rRNA from 1 species
GCAAGACUGCGAAGUGGAGCAAAAUCCCUAAAAGACCAUCUCAGUUCGGAUUGCAGGCUGCAACUCGCCUGCAUGAAGCUGGAAUUGCUAGUAAUCGCGGAUCAGCAAGCCGCGGUGAAUACGUUCCCGGGCCUUGUACACACCGCCCGUCACACCAUGAGAGCCGGGAACACCCGAAGUCCGUAGUCUAACCGCAAGGGGCGCGGCCGAAGGUGGGUCCGGUAAUUGGGGUGAAGUCGUAACAAGGUAAC